UACGUAGGGUCCGAGCGUUGUCCGGAAUUACUGGGCGUAAAGAGCUCGUAGGUGGUUUGUCACGUUGUUCGUGAAAACCCACAGCUCAACUGUGGGCAUGCGAGCGAUACGGGCAGACUAGAGUACUGCAGGGGAGACUGGAAUUCCUGGUGUAGCGGUGGAAUGCGCAGAUAUCAGGAGGAACACCGGUGGCGAAGGCGGGUCUCUGGGCAGUAACUGACGCUGAGGAGCGAAAGCGUGGGGAGCGAACAGG
rnacentral:rRNA from 1 species